rnacentral:lncRNA from 10 species
UGACUCAUUAUCCUCUAUCUUUAAUAAGAGGUUUUUCAGGGCCCUUUUAUUUUCUCACUAUACUCUUUUCCUUGGCCAUUGCCUCUUCAACCAUGACUUCUAUUACAAUAGGAAUGUCAAUCACUUUCACCUGUCUUCAAUUUAGAUCUUUCCUCUAACACCCGGAUAUGUAAUUCAACUCUUAACUUGAUAUCUCACUUGGAAGAGUUACAAGCCUCUCUGAAAAAAAUCCAUACAGGAUGGAAUGCAUGGCAUUUUCUCUGAAACUUCCUCCCUGUCCAGUGUUAUCUACCUUGGAACGAUUGUCUCAUUUAGAGGGACUCUCUAACCUGAGUACACAUUUGAAACAUCUGAGGGCUUUGAAACAUACCUGCUCCUGGACCACCUGCUGAACCAAUUAAAUCAGAAUUUCUGUUGUGAAGAUCUCCACGUGAGUUUAAGCUUUCCUGCUCAACUGUUAGUUCCAUGAAGGCAACAGCCAUGCCUGCUUCGUUCACUGAAAUAUCUUCGUUUCCUAACACACAGAAAGUCAUCAUUUUUUGACGGAUGAAAGAAUGGAUGAAUGCCUAGUCUUGGAGACAUCUACUUGCAAUAAAGGUGAAGAAACAGAGGCAAAGGGAGCAUAAGCAAUUUUCCAAAGGCCAUACAACAUGUAAGUGGCUGAGCCAAGACUGAAAUCACCAGGUUCUUAACCACUAGGCCAUAUUGCAUUGGAGUGUUGCCUCCUGGAGUAAGACUAGGCUAAAAGCUUCAUAGAAACCUAAAGGAGUUAGAGAAGGAAGAUCUCUCAAUGGAAAUGCUAAGAAGAGACACAAGGAAAGACACAUCACUAAGGAGAGACCCAAGGAAAAUGGCUCUAUGACUACAGUCCAUUUAAAGAAUGAGGGCGUUCCUUCUACCAAGUUACAGGUGGAGAUGUGUUUACCUGCUGGAUACCAAUGCUUCUAGCAUCAGGGAGAAGUUGAGCCCUGGAGGAAACAUUGCCUCUAAGUUUGUGUUCUGCUUUCCUGAAAUCCCACGUAACCCACAAUAGCUCUCAAAAGCUUCAAAAAAUAGUGAUGAAAAAGGUUAACUCUGAUGCUGUUCUGGAGCUGAAAGCAGAUUUUGACCUUGGAUAAACAUGCUGGAUUUUCGCUAUUGAAUGUAUUGGGCACAAUUCAAGGUGCUACAUACUGCAAAGCAAAGUAUCUACAACAACUGCAAUAAGCCACCCUGAUCAUUCUUCAACCUAAAGAUUUGCAACUCAUCCAAGUUCAACUGGUUGAAAGAGCCUGCCUCCUCACAGCAGUGCCUGAUUGACACUAUGAACUGAAAUACUAAAGGCACUUCUUCUUUCAGGAUAACUGAUUAAAUGUUCUGGCUGGUAAAGCAGGUCAUCACUCAACUGUUGUGGCUUUGGCAAGAUGCCACCAAAGCAGCCCAUCAUGGUUGGCAGAGAUGUAAAGGCCCCACAUAUUACAGAACACCCUUUGAUAUGCAGACUAAUUAAUAGAAGACCUAAGCCUUUCAAGGGACUUCUAUACCAUAGGAUGUUAGGAGACAUCAAGAACACAAAUGAAACUAAGAUUUUCAUACAGGGUUCAGGUUUUGUUACUUCAGAUCUAUAAUCUAAAGUUCUGUAAUCAUCACAUCACUCCAAGAACAAAAUUUGAUAGGCAAAAUUCUUCACACUCAUUUCAUGGAGAACCUUGAGGGUCCAGAGUGAGGCUUGAUGGCAAGCAGGAGCUCCCUGUCCCCUGUCUCCACCCAUGCAACCCCUAGCUCCCCCAUUGUUUUCACUCUAGAUUUGUGAAGUAUAACAACCUUAAAAUCUUAAGAUUUAAUCUUUAAAUAUUAAGAGAUUUGGGUUUCUGUAUCAACAAUCUUUAAAUAUUAAGAGAUUUUUCCGAAGAUUAAUGACUUUCCUAGAGUUGGCCUACAAAUUCACCACCUCAACUGGAUGACUUGCUUUGGAAUAAAUUUCUAACACCGCAAGUGAAUUGAAUAUUUUCUUCCUUUUUUAUGUAAUCUAAUAUAGUACAUUUUUAAAAAUUUAUAGGAUGUCCAGACACUUAUAGCUUAUCAUUCUAUGAUUCAAAAGAAUUUGGUAUAAUUGCAUUGAUAAGCUUACUGCCCUGGGCACCAAAGUAACCUAGAAUAUGGAGAAGUAGCUUUUGGUGACAUGCAUCUAUUUAUAUCUCUAGCAUUUACUAAUUAAUUAAUUUGUUUAACAAAUACACAUUCAGUACCAUUAUAUGUUUGGCAUUGUCAUAGAUGUUAGAAAAUCAAAUAUAAAAAAGAGGUAAUUUCUUCACAACACACGGAAAUAAGAGUAUCUCUAGGAAUUGUCUCUAGUUGAAAUUGUUUUCUCCUACCCACCUCUACGAUUCAUCAAUUUAGCUUUCCUUCACUGUAGUGACAGGUGUUUUAAUCUCACCUAACAAUAUGCCUGAUUAAGCUUCAACAUACACAGAGAGAGGCCUGAAAAACAUAACUUGGUCUCUAUGUCUAAGUUUAUGUUGUUAGUAAUAGUUAUAAGAGCCACAGCGAUGGCACCAUGGCGUUACCUUCUCUGAAGGCUUUCCCAGCUUUCCUAGCAAAGCUCUUUUCUCUUCCCUCUGGUUAAAAAAUAAAUAAAAAAAAAAUAAAGGUUUUUCCUUUAUUGUUAUUCUUAUGUGUCUGAUUUUAUCACAUUUAUUGUUUUGUUUUCUGAUUGUAUAAGUCAUACAUGCUCAUUUAGAAAACUUGGAAACUAUGGAAAAAGAGAAAUAAAAAAUAAAAUCCACUCUAAUCUACCUUGUUUCUAUCUCUAAGGUAGCAUUCGUCACUUUGGUAUGAAGUUGAUGUGAGUAGAUCUGUCUAAUCAACUAAAUUUGGAGCUUCUCCUGAGAAGAACGCAUGUAUUCAGCUCUGUAUUCCAGCUGUAGGAAGUGUGUGAUGUAUUGGAAACAUCCCAUAAUUUUGAAUAAGAGCAGCAUCAAGUACACAGAGGACUGCUGGACCUAGAACGAC